GAUGAACGCCGGCGGUGUGCCUAAUACAUGCAAGUCGUACGCACUGGCCCAACUGAUUGAUGGUGCUUGCACCUGAUUGACGAUGGAUCACCAGUGAGUGGCGGACGGGUGAGUAACACGUAGGUAACCUGCCCCGGAGCGGGGGAUAACAUUUGGAAACAGAUGCUAAUACCGCAUAACAACAAAAGCCACAUGGCUUUUGUUUGAAAGAUGGCUUUGGCUAUCACUCUGGGAUGGACCUGCGGUGCAUUAGCUAGUUGGUAAGGUAACGGCUUACCAAGGCGAUGAUGCAUAGCCGAGUUGAGAGACUGAUCGGCCACAAUGGAACUGAGACACGGUCCAUACUCCUACGGGAGGCAGCAGUAGGGAAUCUUCCACAAUGGGCGCAAGCCUGAUGGAGCAACACCGCGUGAGUGAAGAAGGGUUUCGGCUCGUAAAGCUCUGUUGUUGGAGAAGAACGUGCGUGAGAGUAACUGUUCACGCGGUGACGGUAUCCAACCAGAAAGUCACGGCUAACUACGUGCCAGCAGCCGCGGUAAUACGUAGGUGGCAAGCGUUAUCCGGAUUUAUUGGGCGUAAAGCGAGCGCGGGCGGUUGCUUAGGUCUGAUGUGAAAGCCUUCGGC
rnacentral:rRNA from 1 species